GCAACUCGACUGCAUGAAGCCGGAAUCGCUAGUAAUCGCGGAUCAGAAUGCCGCGGUGAAUACGUUCCCGGGCCUUGUACACACCGCCCGUCACACCAUGGGAGUCGGAAAUGCCCGAAGCCGGUGGCCUAACCGAUAAGGGAGGAGCCGUCGAAGGCAGGUCUGAUGACUGGGGUGAAGUCGUAACAAGGUAUC
rnacentral:rRNA from 1 species